rnacentral:rRNA from 1 species
AACGAACGCUGGCGGCAUGCCUAACACAUGCAAGUCGAACGAGACCUUCGGGUCUAGUGGCGCACGGGUGAGUAACGCGUGGGAACCUGCCCUUAGGUUCGGAAUAACUCCCCGAAAGGGGUGCUAAUACCGGAUAAUGUCUUCGGACCAAAGAUUUCUCGCCUUUGGAUGGGCCCGCGUUGGAUUAGCUAGUUGGUAGGGUAAAAGCCUACCAAGGCGACGAUCCAUAGCUGGUGUGAUAGGAUGAUCAGCCACACUUGGACUGAGACACGGCCCAGACUCCUACGGGAGGCAGCAGUGGGGAAUAUUGGACGAUGGGCGAAAGCCUGGUCCAGCCAUGCCGCGUGAGUGAUGAAGGCCUUAGUGUUGUAAAGCUCGUUUACCCGGGAUGAUAAUGACAGUACCGGGAGAAUGAGCGCCGGCUAACUCCGUG